UGGGCCAUCGCCAAACGGUAAGGCACAGCACUUUGACUGCUGUAUGCGCUGGUUCAAAUCCAGCUAGCCCAG
rnacentral:tRNA from 1 species